UACAGAGGGUGCAAGCGUUGCUCGGAAUUAUUGGGCGUAAAGGGUAGGUAGGUGGUCUUGUUUGUCUAGGGUGAAAGCCUUGGGCUCAACCUGAGAAGUGCCUUAGAAACGGCAAGACUAGAGUCCUGGAGAGGGUCGUGGAAUUCCCGGUGUAGCGGUGAAAUGCGUUGAUAUCAUCAGGAACACCGGAGGCGAAGGCGGCUUACUGGGGCCUUUCUGACGCUGAGGAACGAAAGCUAGGGGAGCGAACGGG
rnacentral:rRNA from 1 species